ACCCCAGAUUCGCAUGUUCUCUGGACUGCUGAGGGGGUUGGGGCCAGGGCCCUGGUCACAUCUAGACCGGGUCUGUUCUGAGGGCUGGGAUGGGAUCCGCAGCCUCCCAUGCUCCUCAUAGCCUGGUGAGGGACUGGCCCCCACGUAGGUCCUUGCCUGCUCUGGGGCUGACCAGUAGGAGAGCCUUCCAGCAGCCUGAGCUGUCUGGAAACUGAAAGGGCCGCUGUGCGAGACGACAAGCCCCUGUCAUGGUCGGUGUUCCAGCCUACGCCUCCUUGGUGGGGUCAGAUGUUGGGCUGCCCAGGAAGCAAGCUCCAAGAUGGAGAUGAACGUGAGGGACAUAUGUAAGGGCAGCAGUGAGCCAGGCAAGAAAGGUGGACCUUGUCCUGUGUUUCCUGAUCCCUGCACGUGAGCACUGAAGAGUGGGGGCCAGACUCCCGGAGGGAGUUGUCUACCCCUCCA